AGUCUGCCUUUGUACACACCGCCCGUCGCUCCUACCGAUUGAAUGGUCCGGUGAAGUUUUCGGAUUGCGGCGACGCCGGCGGUUCGCUGCCGGUGACGUUGUGAGAAGUUUAUUAAACCUUAUCAUUUAGAGGAAGGAGAAGUCGUAACAAGGUUUCCGUAGGUGAACCUGCGGAAGGAUCAUUG
rnacentral:rRNA from 1 species